UACGUAGGGGGCAAGCGUUGUCCGGAAUCAUUGGGCGUAAAGCGCGUGUAGGCGGUUCGAUUAGUCUGCUGUGAAAGUCCAGGGCUCAACCCUGGGAUGCCGGUGGAUACUGUCGGACUAGAGUACGGAAGAGGCGAGUGGAAUUCCCGGUGUAGCGGUGAAAUGCGCAGAUAUCGGGAGGAGCACCAAUUGCGAAGGCAGCUCGCUGGGACGUUACUGACGCUGAGACGCGAAAGCGUGGGGAGCGAACAGG
rnacentral:rRNA from 1 species